rnacentral:rRNA from 1 species
GCUCCAAUAGCGUAUAUUAAAGUUGUUGCAGUUAAAACGCUCGUAGUCUGAGAUGGUGGGGCGGGGUGGUGGGCGACGAAAGUUGCGUGCAGCUGCUGCUCCAUUUUUGUGUAGAAUCUACACGAGUUACUUGAGGAAUUAGGGUGUUCAAGCAGGCGUUUGCUUGGAUACUGCAGCAUGGAAUAACGGAAUAGGACUUG